AGGCGGUCCAAGAAUUUGGAGAUUACUGCUCGUCAAAAGAUGUGGACACCGUAAAAAGCAUCCUGCCUUUCUGGCCUCGACUCUUCAAUAAAUUGGCUCUGGACUGUGACCGCCGCAUCAGGGAGGCCACCCACCGCGCCAACGGCCGGCUGGUGGGGAAGGUGGGGAGGGAGCUGGCCCCCUAUUUGAGGAACGUGCUGGGGGUGUGGCUCCUGGGCCAGUGCGACGCCCACCCCGGCUCCGCCUCCGCCGCGAGCUCCGCCUUCUCGGAGACCUUCCCGCCCGACAGGCGGUCCAGGGCCCUCCUCUUCUGCAAGACGGAGAUCUUCGCGUAUUUCAAAGAGAAUCUCUGCGAUCCCUCCAAGUUCCUGAACGACGUCAA